GCCCUGAGUGAGCUGAGUUCGGAGACCACGGCCCCUCUGUGCCUGGCUCUCCUCUCUGGCUGCCCGAGACAGGGGCUGCGGGGGAGCCCACCCUGUGGAAGGGCCCAGGAGUUGGCCGCAGCUGUGAGAACGCAGGGGCUCCUCUGUUAGGCGUCAUCGGUGCGGCCCGAGCCCCGGGGAGGCAGUAACGUGGUGGUUCAGCGCGUGUGCUCCGGCCCAGGCUGCCUGGGAAGAAGCCGGCGUUGCCGCUGAGCCUGUCAUCCCGGGCGAGAUCGUUCUCCCUCUGUACCUGGGUGUUUAUUUGUGAAGUGGAGCGGCUGUCGGACAGGCAGCCGGGAUGGAGAGAGGGCGGAAAGGUCUUCCAUCUGGAGCUGGCCACAUGGUCCUGGGGAGCCUGAGAAGCGAGGGAGCUCAGGAAGAUGGCAGAACUGCUUGACUUGGGACAACCUCAGAGCUGUCUUUGACUCCUCUCUUCAUUCACCCUUGACAUUCAAGAUGAAGAAAAUAAUCCCAUGGUUCCAACCUCAAAGAAUCUCUAGAAUCCACCUGCUCGUAUCUCAAUUCCAACUCCCUCUCCAAGCCACCAGCACAGUGAGGUGGGCAAUGACUUUGUCCAUUUUGUUUGUUGCUGUCUCUCUUGUGCCUAGAUUGGUUCUUGUCACAUAGUAGGCCAUCAGUAAAUAUUUGUUAAGUCAUCGAAUGCCUUAGAGUUUGCUAUGCGCCUAAGACAUAAAAAGAUUGUGUUUCUUGAAAACAGAUGAUUUCACAACUAUGAAAAUAAUAACCACCAGCAUUUUUUGAACACACAGCAUGGGCCU